GAUGAACGCUGGCGGCGUGCUUAACACAUGCAAGUCGAACGGAAAGGCCCAAGCUUGCUUGGGUACUCGAGUGGCGAACGGGUGAGUAACACGUGGGUGAUCUGCCCUGCACUUCGGGAUAAGCCUGGGAAACUGGGUCUAAUACCGGAUAGGACCACAUUUUGGAUGGUGUGGUGGAAAGUUUUUCGGUGUGGGAUGAGCUCGCGGCCUAUCAGCUUGUUGGUGGGGUAAUGGCCUACCAAGGCGUCGACGGGUAGCCGGCCUGAGAGGGUGUACGGCCACAUUGGGACUGAGAUACGGCCCAGACUCCUGCGGGAGGCAGCAGUGGGGAAUAUUGCACAAUGGGCGCAAGCCUGAUGCAGCGACGCCGCGUGGGGGAUGACGGCCUUCGGGUUGUAAACUCCUUUCGCUAGGGACGAAGCGCAAGUGACGGUACCUGGAGAAGAAGCACCGGCUAACUACGUG
rnacentral:rRNA from 1 species